CAGCAGUACAGUUUAUGAAGCAAUAUCCUCCUAUCCACUGCAGAAUGCAGCAAUCUACUGCACUGUUGCAUACUUGCGUUACAGUAGCCUUGGCUAUGUGGACAUAGCCUUGGUUAUUAGAAGCUGUAGACUGGAGCAUACAGGAAUGAGACAACACUGAGAAAGUGGGGACAACAGUAUUUCAUCAAAAAGAAGCUCAUUUCCUUCCAGGAGCAGACCACACAGAAAACAUGGACACGGAUUACUUUAUCAGGUCCUGCUGUCACCCAAAGGCUCAUCCCUGCAGAGCUCAGGGGUCUGGCUUCAUGACUCGGCUUUAAACGGACGCUCAGCUUUCCUAGGAAUAGCUAGCACUGCUUGGAAGUGAUUUAUGGAAACACUGCUGCAUCACCUCUGAUCUACCUAUGCUGCACUCAAGCAACAUAAUCUAAACUAGCUGAACAAAAGAUGGAAAUCUCACAAAAAGUAUUUAUUUGUUGACUUACCUGAAUCUGGGCAGAAGAGAUAGCGUGUGAUGGAUUGUAAGGAGUAAAAAAAUAACAUCAUCUGCCUCUUUCAAACUGAUAUGGCAAAGACAACAUAAAUGCAGCAGCACUAAGGCAGCAAAGGAGAAAGGGAAGUGAUAACUGACCGUAGAAAGGAUAAGAAAUACAUAGACUGGAUGUACUUACAAAAAGUGGCUGUAAGCUCUGAGCUAUGAAGAGGGGAGAUGGAGUGAGAAGUAGGAGAAGACUUCAGGUAAGCUUCAGGAUAUCAGAGGGAGUAAGUUUUAUGGAAAGGCAAAUGCAAGCAGAAAUGGG
ensembl:lncRNA